UCUCCGUUGGUGAACCAGCGGAGGGAUCAUUACCGAGUUAUCAACUCCCAAACCCCUGUGAACAUACCCAACGUUGCUUCGGCGGGACCGCCCCGGCGCCCUCGGCGUCCCGGAACCAGGCGCCCGCCGGAGGACCCAAACUCUUGUUUAAACCAUAGUGGCAUAUUCUGAGUCUCACGAGAAAAAUGAAUCAAAACUUUCAACAACGGAUCUCUUGGCUCUG
rnacentral:misc_RNA from 1 species